GGAAAUCUUAUUUCCAAAUUUUACAAGUUACAUCAAGUUUACAAUGUACAUGAUCGGAGUGAUUACAAAAGUGAUUCAAGGAAAUAACUUUGAACUGUUAUAAAUUAUUUGUAGUUUUGAAAUAUAUAUGCUAGCUUAAGUGACCAUACUCAAUAAGAAGUAUAGAAGAAGUACUUAAACUUAUAGAAGGUCGUGCCCACCGGCGCUUAACACCAAUCACAAUCAAGUGACUCGUAACCUGCAGCAAAAAUGGGAAUAAAACCCUAAGUACGCAAGUACUCAACAAGACUUACCCGACUAAAGAAAAGACUCUCAAGGGUAUGCUGGUUAGAGGCAGUCAAGGUAAAGCUUGUCAAGAAUCAAUGACUCUUUUGCAGAAAAGCUUACUAUGGGUGGAUCCUUAAAAAUCCAUUUUUACUUGUCAGGUUAUGUAAAGUUACCUACAUCUAGAGUUCUUCCUAUUCUAGUUCAAGCACUUGGCCUAUACUAGCUGUCUUUUAUCAACCCUUCAGUUCACUGGAUUUCUAUGUGUAAGUCAGUGACCAAGUCUUCAUAUCCGAGAAGUAGCGGCGAUCCGAAUCGAUUCAUACUCAACUGAGGAUCUCCAAUCACACGACAUAUGGAGCACUUAACCCUUGCAUAUGUCAACUCGCCACCGGGUUUCUUAAGACUAGACUGGGUUCACGCCAACCGAGAGCACAAAUACACCACCGUCCAGCCUCUUGCCACGGAGGGUACACGCUACUCUCGCCAUCUCUCCACUCUCAUUGCGUGUUGGCCUUUCUAGUAUUAGUCCGCCCGAGGCAAAGCUUACCCAUGAUGAGGCAUGUGACCAGUUAAAGGGUCCUCGGUCAGUAGGCCCACAUCGAGACGGUCCUUAAUCGAAUCAGACGGAGACACUACACCGACACUCCCUUCUCGUGCAAGUCAACCGCCCGGUCUCGUUUUAAUCAUUUAAACCCCAAAGUUUGGUACCAGGUAGAGGUACAUCUUUUCCGAUGUUGAACCCAUCACGGCCAUGAUGGAUCCACCAUCAAGUUUUAUUUUUGAAAACAUUCCCACCCACUGAAGCAUCACUUUUAUUUUAAAACAAAAUAUUUUUUUUGUUUGAUAAAGCAAGGCUAAGCAUCAUAAAAUUCUUUUCAAAAAGGGUAUCAAGGAAGGAUAAUCAAUUUUCCAAGGAAGGAAAUGCAGCAAUUGUCUGGCACACAACUCCUAUCACCUAAUGCAUCAAACAAGGUGAUAAAGAUUUUAAAACAGCAAGGAGGUGGCAAAUGCACCGGGGCUUGCCUGGAUAACACUACGUUAGUGUUUGUUAGACGUCGAUCACUUGACGACCAUCCUUUGUCUUGGCACUUGUUUAGAUUAUCCAUCUUCAGGUUAAUCCAUCAGCAUCAUCUUGUGGAAAAGCUCACGCUUAACAUUAUCUUAUGGUUGACUCAGCUCUGGUUUUCCACAUCAUGUGUUUAAUUAUCGUACCUAAAUGAGAUGCAUUAUGCACAUGAAUGCAUAAGGACUAGAACGAUAAUAAACAAUUCUAUAGGGUAGAGAAUUAAACACUUAACGGAUAGGCACAGUACAUCACUCAUACGAGAACACUGGUUAUCGACAUACGACUAAGCGCGAUAAUCACGCUUCUCUAAAUUAAACGAACCUAACGCAAACAUCACGAACAACAAACUAUACACAUUUAAUACAAUUAGCCUAAACACAACUCAUCAGCUAAUUGAUUAAAUGCUAAACUUAUCCCUCGCUUUAUAAAUUAUACCACUUUGCUUACAAAGAACUAAUUUAAUUUUAUUUCGCACCACACAUAUUUAUUUAAUCUAUCUAACAAUUCGGCUAACAAACUUAGUCUAAGACACCUAAUUUUGGGAAUAAGCAUAGGAGCACAUCAACUUUCUAAACCACCUGACCGGACGACUUUGCAUAACCUGCCAGCUAAUUAAAAUGUCUACUAGCAAAGCAUUAAUUUAUUUAAGCAAACUAAAUUGGUACGACAACAUCGUCACACAAUGUGCCUAUGCUAACGACAAGAAAAAUCAUUGUGGCUAUAUAACUAUCCAAUUCAAUUAACUGAAAUAAUAAAUUGGCUCACCACGAUCGAAUCGAUUUGAUAACUGCGAGGGCGACGACGGCUCUCAGUUUAGACAUCCGGUCGAGCUCCUAGCAAUUGUUGCACGGACUUUUCUCACAUUUUCAUGCAACUCCAGGAUCAGUCUCCUGGAGAUAAGGUUGACGACGAGUUCCGUGGAGUGAACGACAACGUUGUUGUACCCACGACGUGGAGAUGAAUGACGGCAACUCCACAACUUCUUCACGAGCACGACAAGGACAUAGGGCGCGGCGACUAUGCUUCACUGGCGAGAAACGUCAUGGCGAGCUAGUUGACGGGAGCAACAAACUAUGGAUUUGAAGCUCGGACAAGGAAACCAUGGUCUAAACGACACGGACAAAGGACGAGUGCCGGGGCUGUCAAUUCAUCGCACGGCCGGAUGAUGACGAUGAACAGCCGAGCACGGUAAGGAGCUGAAAAAUGACGACGGGUCUAGCAGAGGAGCUCGCGCGAUGACAACCAAACAGUGAAGCUCAUGCGCACAGUAAGGAAUACGAGCGAUGACGGCUAUGUAAGGAGUGCCAAGUUGAGGAGGGCGGGAUUCGACGGCUCGAUGUCGCCCGUGGCCGAGCACACAAGGCGACCAGCGCACGUGACGAGGAGACCACCGGUGAAGGAACUUGGCUGGCAAAUCGCGC
rnacentral:lncRNA from 1 species